UCAAGUUAUUAAGGGUGCAGGGCGGAUGCCUUGGCACUAGGAGCCGAUGAAGGACGUGAUAAGCUGCGAUAAGCUUCGGGGAGUUGCACGUAAACUUUGAUCCGAAGAUUUCCGAAUGAGGAAACUCACUUAGAGUAAUGUCUAAGUAUCAUUAAGUGAAUACAUAGCUUAAUGAGGGGAACUCAGGGAACUGAAACAUCUAAGUACCUGAAGGAAGAGAAAGAAAUUCGAUUCCGUAAGUAGCGGCGAGCGAACGCGGAUUAGCCCAAACUAAUAAAGUUUUCUUUAUUGGGGUUGCGGACAUAUCAUAACGAAGAGGUAUCGUAAUUGAAGAGGUUUGGAAAGACCCACCACAGAAGGUAAUAGUCCUGUAUGUUAAACGAGAAGACUUUAGAUAUGAUCCAGAGUACCACGGGACACGUGAAACCCUGUGGGAAGCAGGAGGGACCACCCUCCAAGGCUAAAUACUACCUAGUGACCGAUAGCGUAUAGUACCGUGAGGGAAAGGUGAAAAGAACCCCGGGAGGGGAGUGAAAUAGAACCUGAAACCCUGCACUUACAAGCUGUGGAAGCACAUUUCUUGUGUGACCGCGUACUUUUUGUAGAACGGGCCAACGAGUUACGUUAAGUAGCAAGGUUAAGCACUUAAGGUGCGGAGCCGUAGCGAAAGCGAGUUUUAACUGAGCGUUCAGUUACUUGACGUAGACCCGAAACCGGGCGACCUACCCAUGAGCAGGAUGAAGCGAAAGUAAAAUUUCGUGGAGGUCCGAACCCACGAGCGUUGAAAAGCUCGGGGAUGACUUGUGGGUAGCGGUGAAAUUCCAAUCGAGCCCGGAGAUAGCUGGUUCUCCCCGAAAUAGCUUUAGGGCUAGCCUCAAGGUGAGAGAUACGGAGGUAGAGCACUGAAUGUCCUAGGGGGUAUUGCACCUACCGAAGACUAUCAAACUCCGAAUGCCGUCAUCUUAUACUUGGGAGUCAGACUGUGGGUGAUAAGAUUCAUAGUCGAAAGGGCAACAGCCCAGAUCGUCAGCUAAGGUCCCUAAAUGUAAGUUAAGUGGUAAAGGAUGUGGGAUUGCACAGACAACCAGGAUGUUGGCUUAGAAGCAGCCACUCAUUCAAAGAGUGCGUAAUAGCUCACUGGUCGAGUGAUCCUGCGCCGAAGAUUUCCGGGGCUAAAACUUACUACCGAAGCUACGGCAUCAGUAAUGAUGGGUAGGGGAGCUUCCCAUACGGGUUGAAGCAUGACCGUAAGGACAUGUGGACAGUAUGGGAGUGAGAAUGUUGGCAUGAGUAGCGAGAUGUGGGUGAGAAUCCCACAGGCCGUAAACCCAAGGUUUCCAGGGGAAGGUUCGUCCGCCCUGGGUUAGUCGGGACCUAAGCUGAGGCCGAAAGGCGUAGGUGAUGGACAACAGGUUGAUAUUCCUGUACUACCGAUAACCGUUUGAGAGAAGGGAUGACACAGUAGGAUAAGCUAAGCACACUGUUGGUUAUGUGUGCCCAAGCAUUGAGGCAGUCAAAGUAGGCAAAUCCGCUUUGAUAAUGCUGGGAUGUGAUGGGGAGCGAAAUUUAGUAGCGAAGUAGCUGAUUUCACACUGUCAAGAAAAGUCUCUAUCGAGGUUAAAGGUACCCGUACCGCAAACCGACACAGGUGGGUGAGGAGAGUAUCCUAAGGCCAGCGAGAGAACUGUUGUUAAGGAACUCGGCAAAAUGACCCCGUAACUUAGGGAUAAGGGGUGCCACCAUCAGGUGGCCGCAGAGAAUAGGCCCAAGCGACUGUUUACCAAAAACAUAGGUUUCUGCUAAGUCGCAAGACGAUGUAUAGGAGCUGACGCCUGCCCGGUGCUGGAAGGUUAAGGGGAUCUGUUAGAGCAAUCGAAGCAGUGAACUUAAGCCCCAGUAAACGGCGGCCGUAACUAUAACGGUCCUAAGGUAGCGAAAUUCCUUGUCGGGUAAGUUCCGACCCGCACGAAAGGCGUAACGAUUUGGGCACUGUCUCAACAACAGACUCGGUGAAAUUGUAAUUCCGGUGAAGAUGCCGGAUACCUGCGACAGGACGGAAAGACCCCAUGGAGCUUUACUGUAGCUUGACAUUGGGUCUUGGUACUACAUGUACAGGAUAGGUGGGAGGCUUUGAAACCAGGACGCCAGUUUUGGCGGAGCCAUCCUUGGGAUACCACCCUUGUAGUACUGGGACUCUAACCAUAGGCCAUGAAUCUGGUCUUGGGACACUGUCAGGUGGGCAGUUUGACUGGGGCGGUCGCCUCCCAAAAGGUAACGGAGGCGCUCAAAGGUUCUCUCAGUACGGUCGGAAAUCGUACGUAGAGUGUAAAGGCAAAAGAGAGCUUGAUUGCAAGACAUACAGGUCGAGCAAGGAUGAAAAUCGGACUUAGUGAUCCGGUGGUUCUGCGUGGAAGGGCCAUCGCUCAACGGAUAAAAGCUACCCUGGGGAUAACAGGCUUAUCUCCCCCAAGAGUCCACAUCGACGGGGAGGUUUGGCACCUCGAUGUCGGCUCAUCACAUCCUGGGGCUGUAGUAGGUCCCAAGGGUUGGGCUGUUCGCCCAUUAAAGUGGUACGCGAGCUGGGUUCAGAACGUCGUGAGACAGUUCGGUCCCUAUCCGUCGCAGGCGUAGGAAAUUUGAGAAGACCUGUCCUUAGUACGAGAGGACCGGGAUGGACGUACCUCUGGUGUACCAGUUGUCCUGCCAAGGGCAUGGCUGGGUAGCUAUGUACGGAAUGGAUAAGCGCUGAAAGCAUCUAAGCGCGAAGCCAACUUCAAGAUAAGAUUUCCCACCGCAAGGGUAAGACCCCAGAAAGACUAUCUGGUUGAUAGGUCGAAGGUGUAAGUG
rnacentral:rRNA from 1 species